GUACAACUCUGAGCGGUGGAUCACUCGGCUCGUGUGUCGAUGAAGAGCGCAGCCAACUGUGUGAAUUAAUGCGAACUGCAUAAUGCUCUGAACAUCGACAUCUUGAACGCACAUUGCGGCCAUGGGUUAGCCUGUGGCCACGCCUGUCCGAGGGUCGGCU
rnacentral:rRNA from 1 species